rnacentral:piRNA from 1 species
UAUGGAUGAACUCUACUCCGGUGGCGG